AUUGAAUGCUGGCGGCAGGCCUAACACAUGCAAGUCGAGCGGAUGAAGGGAGCUUGCUCCUGGAUUCAGCGGCGGACGGGUGAGUAAUGCCUAGGAAUCUGCCUGGUAGUGGGGGAUAACGUCCGGAAACGGGCGCUAAUACCGCAUACGUCCUGAGGGAGAAAGUGGGGGAUCUUCGGACCUCACGCUAUCAGAUGAGCCUAGGUCGGAUUAGCUAGUUGGUGGGGUAAAGGCCUACCAAGGCGACGAUCCGUAACUGGUCUGAGAGGGUGAUCAGUCACACUGGAACUGAGACACGGUCCAGACUCCUACGGGAGGCAGCAGUGGGGAAUAUUGGACAAUGGGCGAAAGCCUGAUCCAGCCAUGCCGCGUGUGUGAAGAAGGUCUUCGGAUUGUAAAGCACUUUAAGUUGGGAGGAAGGGCAGUAAGUUAAUACCUUGCUGUUUUGACGUUACCAACAGAAUAAGCACCGGCUAACUUCGUG
rnacentral:rRNA from 1 species